AAAAAAUCGCACUGGCAAAACACACAGUAUACACAACACAGGCCAGGCGGAUUCACAGACUAUUGCAUGGGUGACUGAUGGUGGUGGUUAGCAGUGUGGGUGCAACAGUCUCCAUUGCGACUGGUAGCCAUCAAUCGAAGUGGUGUCCAUCUUGGGGCCCUCUCGCCCCUAUAUAUUACACGGAAAAUUCUAAUCCUGCAAAUUUCACGCCAAAAACAUGUUGGACUAAUAUUCACGAAACUGAAUUCUAUUAAAUAAUGUGCGGUGAGUUAUAAAAUGGAGGAUAAACUAUAAAAGUUUUUUAAUAAAUAUAGUUAAAACAUGUCUAAAGUUUAUUUAUUCCGUAUUCUUUAUUUACAGUAGUAUAGAGAGGAAUUAAUUUUUUGAAUGUUUUGUCCAAUUACCGAAAAGGUAUUAAUUUUUAUGCUCUAAAUAUUAUAUUGAAUCUAAAUGUUAAAUUAAGAAUUGUAACAUCUACAUUUUGUAAUUUAGAAAAUAUAAUCAUUAACGGAUGCAGCUAAGAAAAAGUAUUAAAUUAUGGAAAAUGUAAUCACUAAAUGAUUGAAAAUAUUAUUAUUAUUAUUAUUAAGCUUUCAUGAAUCAAAGUUAUAUAUUAUUUGUAGUUUCAAUCUCUGCAUAAAGUUUGAAAAAUCAAUCAGGGGUAAUCGCGCGCAGGUCUAUGGAAAAACGGGUAUUGUCAGGGAAUUUCAAAAUAGAAAAACUGUGUCAAUCAAUGUAAACUUAAUUUAAAAGUAAAAAAAUUUACUUUUACCAAGUUUGAGUUUUAAAUACAUGCUAAAUAUACUUUUUUUUCUAUAGAAAAAAAAAAAAGUUUAAAUGAUUUAUUGGAAUUUUUUUUCAAUGAGAACUGAGAUAUAUUAAAGUUCAAGUUUUUUAUAUUCAACUUUUUAAUUAAAGUGACAAUAAAAUAAAUUUACAAAGAGUAAAAAGUGCAUUAUAUGUUUAACGCUCCUGUUCCCACUAUAUAUUAUUCGCAUAUACAUAAAAACAAAUUUUCAAAGAAAAUGAUUUUGGAAAAUUAUAUAGGUAAACAUAUUAUAUGUUUUUCAUUUUCUAUAGGCAAGCGUUCCUCUGAUGCGCGUAUAAUAUUUUUGAUCCCUUUCAAUUUUUUUAUAAUAAUAAUUUAUUUUUAAUUCUGUACAUUAGGGUUGUUCUUCAGAACUGAAUUAAAGAAAUAUAUGGGGUAAAAUUCAUCAACUGCCUAGGUAAAAAAAAAUGUUGUUAAAUUUUUUCAAAGUUUUGCCAAAAUAAUGUUACUAUUUUUUUUAAUAAAAAUGUAAAUAUAAAUUAUUAUUGAAUCUGAUGAAAUAUUUUUCAAGUUGCAGAGUUUAAAAAUUUUGACUUUUUGGAAUACAUUAAUUUUUUUUUUCGAUUUCAAUUGUAUAUAUUGUCAAGUUAAAUUAAUCAAAUUAAAAAUGUUAAUUGAUUUUUAAAGGGUUUUUCACGAGCUGCAAGCUGGUGAUGAAAUAAAUUUUUUUUUUCAAUUUGACCUUGAAAUUGAAGGUCAAAUUCUUAAUUUCAAUAUAUUUCAAAAUCGGUUUUUUUUGUAACCUAUAUAAGGUUAAAGAACCAGUACUUGGACAUUACAAAAAAUGGAACCAAAUACAAAUUUAGAGAGUAACAAAAAGAAUUAAAACUGCUUCCAAUGUAAAUGAAAAAAUAAUAUAGGCUUUUUCUGAAUGUUAGUUUUUGCGGAUAUAAUUCUCAAGUUUUCAAUUUCUAAACCAAAAAAUUAUACGUCACAAACUACUCAAAAUCGAGUGUCCAAAUUUACCUUCUGCUUUUUAACCUUAAGCACCAGCAGCACCAGUAUAUAGUUGGACAAAAACUUUACAGGCAUUAAUCUAAUAAAAUAAUGAAUGAAUUAAUAUAAAAUGACCAACUAAUAAAUUUAAUAGUUGACAACAUGAUUUAAUAUCGAGGAGCAAACAACUAAGGAUUUUGGUGUAUACCUAAUACAAUAAUUCAGGAUAAUUCAGGUAAUUCAAGAUAAGUCAAGGUAAUUCACAGUAAUUCACGGUAAUUCAGGAUAAUUCAACACAAGUGUACACCAUAAUUCAUUAGUUGUUUGCCCCUCGACUAAUAUACAAAUACAAACAUUAUAUGCAAAUAAAUAUUAUGCGUAUUUUCUUAUAUAUGUCCAGUUACUGGACCCCCUAAAAUGGCAUGUCCAUAACUACAUAUUACGGUAAAGAAGCAAUUAUUAUUUAUUUUCUAGAUUUACAUUCAACUAAAAUAAAAAUUUAGACUAAUUUCUUUUAAUUUUAAUCCUUUAAUCAUAGUACAAACGAAAUAGAACAAUUUUGUCAAGUAAAACUAUAUUAUAUCUUUGUAAAAGUGUUUGCUAAAUUUGCUACAAUUUUAAAACUGUCCAAGUACUGGUGCUUUUACCUUAUACCAUAAUGGAAAGUUUACCUUUUUUCCUAUAUGAGCCACG